GAGGGUAGGCCCCUCGGAAUCGGAGUGCAGGCUCAGGUUCCAAACCGCCUCGAGCUGCGUGGGUUAAGAGCCCAGGUGGUGAGCGUCGAAGGAAAAGGCGCGGCGUGACUGCGUCAGGU
rnacentral:ncRNA from 2 species